rnacentral:rRNA from 1 species
UGGGGAAUUUUGGACAAUGGGCGAAAGCCUGAUCCAGCAAUGCCGCGUGUGUGAAGAAGGCCUUCGGGUUGUAAAGCACUUUUGUCCGGAAAGAAAUCCUUGGCUCUAAUACAGUCGGGGGAUGACGGUACCGGAAGAAUAAGCACCGGCUAACUACGUGCCAGCAGCCGCGGUAAUACGUAGGGUGCAAGCGUUAAUCGGAAUUACUGGGCAUAAAGCGUGCGCAGGCGGUUUGCUAAGACCGAUGUGAAAUCCCCGGGCUCAACCUGGGAACUGCAUUGGUGACUGGCAGGCUAGAGUAUGGCAGAGGGGGGUAGAAUUCCACGUGUAGCAGUGAAAUGCGUAGAGAUGUGGAGGAAUACCGAUGGCGAAGGCAGCCCCCUGGGCCAAUACUGACGCUCAUGCACGAAAGCGUGGGGAGCAAACAGGAUUAGAUACCCUGGUAGUCCACGCCCUAAACGAUGUCAACUAGUUGUUGGGGAUUCAUUUCCUUAGUAACGUAGCUAACGCGUGAAGUUGACCGCCUGGGGAGUACGGUCGCAAGAUUAAAACUCAAAUGAAUUGACGGGGUCAUAGCUGUUUCCU